rnacentral:rRNA from 1 species
AACGAACGCUGGCGGCAUGCCUAACACAUGCAAGUCGAACGAGACCUUCGGGUCUAGUGGCGCACGGGCGCGUAACGCGUGGGAACCUGCCUUUAGGUUCGGAAUAACUCAGAGAAAUUUGAGCUAAUACCGGAUGAUGUCUUCGGACCAAAGAUUUAUCGCCUUUAGAUGGGCCCGCGUUGGAUUAGCUAGUUGGUGGGGUAAAGGCCUACCAAGGCGACGAUCCAUAGCUGGUCUGAGAGGAUGAUCAGCCACACUGGGACUGAGACACGGCCCAGACUCCUACGGGAGGCAGCAGUGGGGAAUAUUGGACAAUGGGCGAAAGCCUGAUCCAGCAAUGCCGCGUGAGUGAUGAAGGCCUUAGGGUUGUAAAGCUCUUUUACCCGAGAUGAUAAUGACAGUAUCGGGAGAAUAAGCGCCGGCUAACUCCGUG